UACGAAGGGGGCUAGCGUUGUUCGGAUUAACUGGGCGUAAAGGGUGCGUAGGCGGGUUUUAAGUCAGGGGUGAAAUCCCGAGGCUCAACCUCGGAACUGCCUUUGAUACUGGAAAUCUUGAGUCUGGGAGAGGUGAGUGGAACUGCGAGUGUAGAGGUGAGAUUCGUAGAUAUUCGCAAGAACACCGGUGGCGAAGGCGGCUCUCUGGG
rnacentral:rRNA from 1 species